GUUGAGUACCUCAAACUGAGGACCGCUCGUGUCGCCGCCGCCGCCGCCGCCGUCGCCAUGGGAACUGGAGUCGCUCAUGAUGCUCCGAGCUCAGGCCUCAGGGAGGAAGACGAACUGAGGGCUGUGACAGCCUCGUCUGCGUGAGGAAGCAUCUCUGGGUUGCUCUGCUUUGCCCGGUUGGUCUCCGAGUCUUUGGUGGCAGGCCCAUAGGCUGCCUGGACAUUAUCCUAUGCACCCAAUAAGAAGAGAGAAGGAAAAAAGGUGGUCCGUCAAAGGACAGAGAGUAAUGAGCACCUGAUUAACCACCAUCUUUCCUUUAUGCUGCUAAGAAAAAACACCAUGUCCUUUAGUCCUUUUAAUGGCUGUGUAAAUCGCCUUCAUUCUUUCA